rnacentral:rRNA from 1 species
UACGUAGGGGGCAAGCGUUAUCCGGAUUUACUGGGUGUAAAGGGAGCGUAGGCGGUUCAGCAAGUCAGAUGUGAAAACCAUGGGCUCAACCUGUGGCCUGCAUUUGAAACUGUUUUUCUUGAGUACUGGAGAGGCAGACGGAAUUCCUCGUGUAGCGGUGAAAUGCGUAGAUAUGAGGAGGAACACCAGUGGCGAAGGCGGUCUGCUGGACAGCAACUGACGCUGAGGCGCGAAAGCGUGGGGAGCAAACAGG